UUGGGAAAUCUGCUUGACUUGAAACACUGGGUGACAUACCUGGAGUCCACAAAUCUUCUCCCAGCAAGAAAGCAGCUGUCUGUGAAUUAGGAAGAAUGCUCGCACCAGACACCAGGUCUGCUGGCACCUUGAACUUGGACAUCCAGCGUCCAGAACUGGGAGAAAUAAAUAUCUGUGUGUAAGCCA